GAGCAAUGUCUGCAAAAGACAGGAUUAAUAAUGUUUUAUCUUAUCUUAUCCUAACUUGUGAAAAACACAGACGGUAUGUCGGUCUAUAAUUUAAUUUUAUCCAACACAAGCAAUGAUCUAAUCAGGAGAAAAAUCAACUUCACGUGUGUUUCAAGGGAGUUUCUGUGCCACAGUGCUAAUGAGAGGAUGAGCUGCAGCUGCGCUGGAUGAGUUGAAUGAGCUGUGCAGGUGCAGCUCGUUUGUCAUUUCCGCUUAAAAGGCCGGCGCUGUGGCUGUGUCGAUCAUUCGCACUCUUCCUCCGAAGCUGUGCGGAUCAUUCCUCCUGUCCAGUGUCUCCGGAGAGCGAGCAGUUUGCGUUUUCCCCAGCCGUCCUCCGACCAGGUGGAGUCCUCCUUCUCCUUUCUCGUGUGGUGAGUUCUGCACAUAGUUGGCAUGUUUGUUAGUGUUUUUGUAACUAAAACCCUGCCGCCCCAGAACGGGUUUGUGUUUCCACUCAAGGAGCAAAGUUGGAGCUGCGUCAUUGCGCCACCACAAAACGUGUGUACGUCACUGCGUACGUAGCCGUUCAACAGCGUUCACGCCGUACGGAAACCCACACAACAACAAUGGAGGGCUUCUUUGGAGUGGUGUACGUGGCUUUGCGAGUGUGUCUCGCCAUCGCUGAACAGCAAAACCUUCUGUUAGGGGUUACUCAUCGGCGUCGCCGUUCCAAUGCCCGGCGUUCACGUUUGAGAAGAAAGAUGUUUUUAGAUGUCACCCCGCCUUCUGCCCGUGACAUGCUCGGCUCUCAACUCUGGCCACCUCUGGCCCAGCAACGAGUUGGUGCCCGAAACGGCCCCAGUUUUUGGAGCCCGGAGCCGCAGCUCCGGUGGUCGAAACACAAAAAACCGGCGCCAAGUCGGGCGCCGGCUCCAACUCCGAACGGGCUCCACCCCGGUCGAAAAGGAGGGGGAAGCAGCUGAAGGCAGAACUUGUCCUAUUUAAAGGAUUCGUAGCAAAGUGAAUGAGGUAGCGAUGGCUCUCAGAAAGAAGCUGGGUUUUUUUUUUUGUUUUUUUUGUUUUUUUUUUUAAAGGGAAAAAAAAUAUUAUUUUUUUCGGCUUCAUUUAGGCAUAGUGAGAGAGACGGGAAACGGGGGGAAAAGAGUUGGGGAACACAUGCAGCAAAGGGCCGCGACCGGGAAUCGAACCCGGGCCGCUGCAUCUGGGACCAGCCCCUUGUACACUGCUCGUCCGCUUAACGCGUUGAGCUAUACGGGCGCCUGGAAAAAAAAAAAAAAAAAGAGUUUUUCAGUCUAUUUGUCCUCACAUUGAUGCAUCUGUAACUCCUUCCACGGGGCAAAGAUCACAAAGCUGAGAACCGGGAUGUGAGCUGUUCUUGAUGAUGUUCUUGCUGAGGCAAGUUGUUGACAUCCAUAGAGGUGAGUCACACACAUUCAUGGAGGCAAUGGCUGUUUUGUGUUGUCUGUGUCAUGUUUGCACGUUCUUCGGGUUCUUUGCAUGUCUAAAUCUUUGCUUUGACGCACUCUGUCCUUGAGGUGUUGGCUGUUUUCCAUCUGGGUCACAUUUGGACUUUAUCCUGGUCACUCGUCUGCGUCAUUCAUGGCUUUGACAUAAAUUGAAGACAUGGGACUUUGAUUGUUUGUUGAUGUAGCCGUUUUCUUUCUUUUACAUGCCGAGAGACGAGAUCUUCAGUGGACGAUUAAAGAGGCUGUUGACAUCCAUAGAGGUGAGUUACACACAUUGAUGGAAGCUAUGGCUGUUUUGUGUUGUCUGUGUCAUGUUUGCACUUUGUUCGGGUUCUUUGCAUGUCUAACUCUUUGCUUUGACACUCUGUCCUUGAGGUGUUGGCCGUUUUCCAUCUGGGUCACGUUUGGACUUUAUCCUGGUCACUUGUCUGCGUCAUUCAUGGCUUUGACAUAAAUUGAAGACAUGGGACUUUGAUUGUUUGUUGAUGUAGUCGUUUUCUUUCUUUUACAUGUCGAGAGACGAGAUCUUCAGUGGACGAUUAAAGAGGCUGUUGACAUCCAUAGAGGUGAGUUACACACAUUAAUGGAAGCUAUGGCUGUUUUGUGUUGUCUGUGUCAUGUUUGCACUUUGUUCGGGUUCUUUGCAUGUCUAACUCUUUGCUUUGACACUCUGUCCUUGAGGUGUUGGCCGUUUUCCAUCUGGGUCACGUUUGGACUUUAUCCUGGUCACUUGUCUGCGUCAUUCAUGGCUUUGACAUAAAUUGAAGACAUGGGACUUUGAUUGUUUGCUGAUGUAGCCGUUUUCUUUCUUUUACAUGCCGAGAGACGAGAUCUUCAGUGGACGAUUAAAGAGGCUGUUGACAUCCAUAGAGGUGAGUUACACACAUUGAUGGAAGCUAUGGCUGUUUUGUGUUGUCUGUGUCAUGUUUGCACUUUGUUCGGGUUCUUUGCAUGUCUAACUCUUUGCUUUGACACUCUGUCCUUGAGGUGUUGGCCGUUUUCCAUCUGGGUCACGUUUGGACUUUAUCCUGGUCACUUGUCUGCGUCAUUCCUGGCUUUGACAUAAAUUGAAGACAUGGGACUUUGAUUGUUUGUUGAUGUAGCCGUUUUCUUUCUUUUACAUGCCGAGAGACGAGAUCUUCAGUGGACGAUUAAAGAGGCUGUUGACAUCCAUAGAGGUGAGUUACACACAUUGAUGGAAGCUAUGGCUGUUUUGUGUUGUCUGUGUCAUGUUUGCACUUUGUUCGGGUUCUUUGCAUGUCUAACUCUUUGCUUUGACACUCUCUGUCCUUGAGGUUUUGGCCGUUUUCCAUCUGGGUCACGUUUGGACUUUAUCCUGGUCACUUGUCUGCGUCAUUCAUGGCUUUGACAUAAAUUGAAGACAUGGGACUUUGAUUGUUUGUUGAUGUAGCCGUUUUCUUUCUUUUACAUGCCGAGAGACGAGAUCUUCAGUGGACCAUAAAAGAGGCUGUUGACAUCCAUAGAGGUGAGUUACACACAUUGAUGGAAGCUAUGGCUGUUUUGUGUUGUCUUUGUCAUGUUUGCACUUUGUUCGGGUUCUUUGCAUGUCUAACUCUUUGCUUUGACACUCUGUCCUUGAGGUGUUGGCCGUUUUCCAUCUGGGUCACGUUUGGACUUUAUCCUGGUCACUUGUCUGCGUCAUUCAUGGCUUUGACAUAAAUUGAAGACAUGGGACUUUGAUUGUUUGUUGAUGUAGCCGUUUUCUUUCUUUUACAUGCCGAGAGACGAGAUCUUCAGUGGACGAUUAAAGAGGCUGUUGACAUCCAUAGAGGUGAGUUACACACAUUGAUUGAAGCUAUGGCUGUUUUGUGUUGUCUUUGUCAUGUUUGCACUUUGUUCGGGUUCUUUGCAUGUCUAACUCUUUGCUUUGACAUUCUGUCCUUGAGGUGUUGGCCGUUUUCCAUCUGGGUCACGUUUGGACUUUAUCCUGGUCACUUGUCUGCGUCAUUCCUGGCUUUGACAUAAAUUGAAGACAUGGGACUUUGAUUGUUUGUUGAUGUAGCCGUUUUCUUUCUUUUACAUGCCGAGAGACGAGAUCUUCAGUGGACGAUUAAAGAGGCUGUUGACAUCCAUAGAGGUGAGUUACACACAUUGAUGGAAGCUAUGGCUGUUUUGUGUUGUCUGUGUCAUGUUUGCACUUUGUUCGGGUUCUUUGCAUGUCUAAUUCUUUGCUUUGACACUCUGUCCUUGAGGUGUUGGCCGUUUUCCAUCUGGGUCACGUUUGGACUUUAUCCUGGUCACUUGUCUGCGUCAUUCAUGGCUUUGACAUAAAUUGAAGACAUGGGACUUUGAUUGUUUGUUGAUGUAGCCGUUUUCUUUCUUUUACAUGCCGAGAGACGAGAUCUUCAGUGGACGAUUAAAGAGGCUGUUGACAUCCAUAGAGGUGAGUUACACACAUUGAUGGAAGCUAUGGCUGUUUUGUGUUGUCUGCGUCAUGUUUGCACUUUGUUUGGGUUCUUUGCAUGUCUAACUCUUUGCUUUGACACUCUGUCCUUGAGGUGUUGGCCGUUUUCUAUCUGGGUCACGUUUGGACUUUAUCCUGGUCACUUGUCUGCGUCAUUCAUGGCUUUGACAUAAAUUGAAGACAUGGGACUUUGAUUGUUUGCUGAUGUAGCCGUUUUCUUUCUUUUACAUGCCGAGAGACGAGAUCUUCAGUGGACCAUAAAAGAGGCUGUUGACAUCCAUAGAGGUGAGUUACACACAUUGAUGGAAGCUAUGGCUGUUUUGUGUUGUCUGUGUCAUGUUUGCACUUUGUUCGGGUUCUUUGCAUGUCUAACUCUUUGCUUUGACACUCUCUGUCCUUGAGGUGUUGGCCGUUUUCCAUCUGGGUCACGUUUGGACUUUAUCCUGGUCACUUGUCUGCGUCAUUCAUGGCUUUGACAUAAAUUGAAGACAUGGGACUUUGAUUGUUUGUUGAUGUAGCCGUUUUCUUUCUUUUACAUGCCGAGAGACGAGAUCUUCAGUGGACCAUAAAAGAGGCUGUUGACAUCCAUAGAGGUGAGUUACACACAUUGAUGGAAGCUAUGGCUGUUUUGUGUUGUCUUUGUCAUGUUUGCACUUUGUUCGGGUUCUUUGCAUGUCUAAUUCUUUGCUUUGACACUCUGUCCUUGAGGUGUUGGCCGUUUUCCAUCUGGGUCACGUUUGGACUUUAUCCUGGUCACUUGUCUGCGUCAUUCAUGGCUUUGACAUAAAUUGAAGACAUGGGACUUUGAUUGUUUGUUGAUGUAGCCGUUUUCUUUCUUUUACAUGCCGAGAGACGAGAUCUUCAGUGGACGAUUAAAGAGGCUGUUGACAUCCAUAGAGGUGAGUUACACACAUUGAUGGAAGCUAUGGCUGUUUUGUGUUGUCUGCGUCAUGUUUGCACUUUGUUUGGGUUCUUUGCAUGUCUAACUCUUUGCUUUGACACUCUGUCCUUGAGGUGUUGGCCGUUUUCCAUCUGGGUCACGUUUGGACUUUAUCCUGGUCACUUGUCUGCGUCAUUCAUGGCUUUGACAUAAAUUGAAGACAUGGGACUUUGAUUGUUUGUUGAUGUAGCCGUUUUCUUUCUUUUACAUGCCGAGAGACGAGAUCUUCAGUGGACGAUUAAAGAGGCUGUUGACAUCCAUAGAGGCUGAAAUUCCAUUAAGAAGAAGAAGAAGAAGAAGAAGAAGAAGAAGAAGAAGAAGAAGAAGAAGAAGAAGAAGAAGAAGAAGAAGAAGAAGAAGAAGAAGAAGAAGAAGAAGAAGAAGAAGAAGAAGAAGAAGAAGAAGAAGAAGAAGAAGAAGAAGAAGAAGAAGUGCUUCCACAGCAAGUCUGUGGCAGCUCCAGAACACAAACAAUCAGCUCGGUUGUCUUCAACAUGUCGACCACUCUGUCUUUCUCUGUCAACCUGCCACCCCCUGAAACAAAUAAAAGACAAAUAUGAGCAAAGUCCCAUGUCUUCAAUGUAUGACAAAGUAAUCAAAGCAAAUCACCGCAAUAAAAUGAUACACAAGACACCCAUCACCUACGUGACAAUGUAUGAGUCUAACUCACCUCUGUUCUCUGGACGUCCACCGCUGGGUCUCUCAGCAUCUGACACAAACAAACAAACAAACAAACACAUGAGGAAAGCAGCAAAGUCUACUGUGUGCAAUGUGUGACAAUGUGCAACUCACCUCUGCUCUCU